rnacentral:rRNA from 1 species
GGAAAGUUUUUUCGGUUGGGGAUGGGCUCGCGGCCUAUCAGCUUGUUGGUGGGGUGAUGGCCUACCAAGGCGACGACGGGUAGCCGGCCUGAGAGGGCGACCGGCCACACUGGGACUGAGACACGGCCCAGACUCCUACGGGAGGCAGCAGUGGGGAAUAUUGCACAAUGGGGGAAACCCUGAUGCAGCGACGCCGCGUGGGGGAUGACGGCCUUCGGGUUGUAAACCUCUUUCAGUAGGGAAGAAGCCUUCGGGUGACGGUACCUGCAGAAGAAGUACCGGCUAACUACGUGCCAGCAGCCGCGGUAAUACGUAGGGUACAAGCGUUGUCCGGAAUUAUUGGGCGUAAAGAGCUCGUAGGUGGUCUGUCGCGUCUGCUGUGGAAACGCAACGCUCAACGUUGCGCGUGCAGUGGGUACGGGCGGACUGGAGUGCAGUAGGGGAGUCUGGAAUUCCUGGUGUAGCGGUGAAAUGCGCAGAUAUCAGGAGGAACACCGGUGGCGAAGGCGGGACUCUGGGCUGUAACUGACGCUGAGGAGCGAAAGCAUGGGGAGCGAACAGGAUUAGAUACCCUGGUAGUCCAUGCCGUAAACGUUGGGCACUAGGUGUGGGACCCAUUCCACGGGUUCCGUGCCGUAGCUAACGCAUUAAGUGCCCCGCCUGGGGAGUACGGCCGCAAGGCUAAAACUCAAAGGAAUUGACGGGGGCCCGCACAAGCGGCGGAGCAUGCGGAUUAAUUCGAUGCAACGCGAAGAACCUUACCAAGGCUUGACAUACACCGGAUCGCUGCAGAAAUGUGGUUUCCCUUCGGGGCUGGUGUACAGGUGGUGCAUGGUUGUCGUCAGCUCCGGUCGUGAGAAUGUUGGGUUAAGUCCCGCAACGAGCGCAACCCUCGUUCUAUGUUGCCAGCACGUGAUGGUGGGAACUCAUAGGAGACUGCCGGGGUCAACUCCGGAGGAAGGUGGGGGAUGACGUCAAAU